AGUAAUGAGGAGGCUGUAUUAUCUGAAGUAUCUAAUUUGUUACAUUAUUCAUGGUCUUAAAAGUUCUCUGAUUGUU